rnacentral:pre_miRNA from 1 species
GCUCCUGCAAGAGUGAAAUGCACGUGCUUUGGGACAGUGAAGACAAUAAUGUACACAAAGUCCAUACACUUUUACCCAUUAGGAGAG